GAUGAACGCUGGCGGCGUGCCUAAUACAUGCCAGUCGAGCGAACAGACGAGGAGCUUGCUCCUCUGACGUUAGCGGCGGACGGGUGAGUAACACGUGGAUAACCUACCUAUAAGACUGGGAUAACUUCGGGAAGCCGGAGCUAAUACCGGAUAAUAUAUUGAACCGCAUGGUUCAAUAGUGAAAGACGGUUUUGCUGUCACUUAUAGAUGGAUCCGCGCCGCAUUAGCUAGUCGGUAAGGUAACGGCUUACCAAGGCGACGAUGCGUAGCCGACCUGAGAGGGUGAUCGGCCACACUGGAACUGAGACACGGUCCAGACUCCUACGGGAGGCAGCAGUAGGGAAUCUUCCGCAAUGGGCGAAAGCCUGACGGAGCAACGCCGCGUGAGUGAUGAAGGUCUUCGGAUCGUAAAACUCUGUUAUUAGGGAAGAACAAAUGUGUAAGUAACUAUGCACGUCUUGACGGUACCUAAUCAGAAAGCCACGGCUAACUACGU
rnacentral:rRNA from 1 species